AUUGAACGCUGGCGGAAUGCUUUACACAUGCAGUCGAACGGCAGCACGGGGGCAACCCUGGUGGCGAGUGGCGAACGGGUGAGUAACACAUCGGAACGUGCCCAGUCGUGGGGGAUAACGUAGCGAAAGCUACGCUAAUACCGCAUACGAUCUACGGAUGAAAGCGGGGGAUCGCAAGACCUCGCGCGAUUGGAGCGGCCGAUGGCAGAUUAGGUAGUUGGUGGGGUAAAGGCUCACCAAGCCGACGAUCUGUAGCUGGUCUGAGAGGACGACCAGCCACACUGGGACUGAGACACGGCCCAGACUCCUACGGGAGGCAGCAGUGGGGAAUUUUGGACAAUGGGCGCAAGCCUGAUCCAGCCAUUCCGCGUGCAGGAUGAAGGCCUUCGGGUUGUAAACUGCUUUUGUACGGGACGAAACGGCUCUCUCUAAUACAGGGGGCUAAUGACGGUACCGUAAGAAUAAGCACCGGCUAACUACGUGCCAGCCGCCGCCGUAACAC
rnacentral:rRNA from 1 species